ensembl:lincRNA
UGCGCGCGCAUCGGCGGCCGGCUCGGGGCGGGGUUCCUCAUGCGCGCCUGCGCGCUGCGGCCGCGCCUGCGCAGAGCAGCCGUGCCGGGACCAGGGUGACCCCGAGGGAAGCGGGGCGAGUCGCGAUGUUGACGAGGUUCCUGGCCCCGCGCUACCGGGAGCUGGCGAAGAACUGGUGCCUGGGGAGACGGCGCCGCCCACCUCAGCACCUGCCGCACCUGGGGCGGCCGCAGCCUUCCGGACGGACAGACCGCUGGGACAGCAGCAGCCCCCACGACCGCCUGCGCCCCCGGAAGCCGCGCCGCUGCCCACGCACAUGGCUUUCUGCCCUCCGCCUCGGUGCCGGGCGAGCUCGGGCGAGCUGGGGGCUCGGUCACCCGCACCCCCGGCUGGGUGCCUCGGGGGUCCUUUCAGACCCACGGCGUUGCCAGUCUUGGAGCGUUUCCACGGAGAGGUCAUGUGAGCGUCGAGAGUGCUGGGGCGGCCCGGGCCCGCUCGCUGCGUCUGUGCUGUGUCAACAAGCUGCUCCACGUGCCGUGGCCUCCAGCAAACGUGUCUUACUUCACGCGAGUGUCGUUGGGGAGCGGCGUGGCCGGGUGGCUUGAGCACGGGGGCUUCCCCGGGGACUGCGUCGUCCGCGGUCUGGGGCGGGUGGCCUUCCCGUGGCACUGCUGGCGUCGCCUCCAGCAUGGCGGCCGCCUUCCCUCCAAGCCGAUGUCCCCGGGGGCAAGGGUAUUGGCCAGCCAGAGGGGAGCGGGUGCAAGUACCAGAAACGGGUGGGUUCUUAUGAAGGGCGUUGACUUGGGGUAGGAGCUCACAGACACCAGGCCACGAAGCACAAGUCACUUUCCUCCCCAAAGUCCAUUUGCAGCAGGACGGCUGCCGACGGCUGCGGGUUCAGGCCUCCUGGGCUCCUCGGGGCUCAGCGCCUCUUUCCCCCGCAAGGGCAGCUGGAGACCUUGAGGCUCUCUAGGCUUUGCCCCUCUCACAAGGGCAGCUGGAGACUCGCAGGCGAAUGGCCCUGUCUCUCUCCCCGGGGCUGCAGCGUAAGGCUUCAGCAUCCAACGCCAACAUCCAAACUCAGUCAGAAACUCAGCUCUGUCCUUGGCGGCGGCCCUUGGUGGGCGGGGACUCAAGGCCUAAUGACGGGGCCCAAUCAAAGCCCUAAUUGUAACUUAAUCACGCGCGGGAACAGAUACAUGCAGGCAUAAUGCAGUAUCCAUUUCUGGAAUUCAUAAGCUAUCCAAUUGCUAGGAGGAAGGAGAACGGGCCUGGG